rnacentral:misc_RNA from 1 species
AACGCACAUUGCGCCCCUUGGUAUUCCAUGGGGCAUGCCUGUUCGAGCGUCAUUUGUACCCUCAAGCUUUGCUUGGUGAUGGGUGUUUGUUCCGCUGCAACGCGUGAACUCGCCUCAAAUCAAUUGGCAGCCGGCAAUCUGGUGUUUGAGCGCAGCACAUUUUGCGCUCUUCGCUGUGUAUUGCGGGCGUCCAUGAAGCCUAUAUUUUCGCGCUUGACCUCGGAUCAGGUAGGGAUACCCGCUGAACUUAA